UACGUAGGCAGCGAGCGUUGUUCGGAAUUACUGGGCGUAAAGAGUGUGUAGGCGGUGCUCUAAGUUCGGUGUGAAAUCUCCUGGCUCAACUGGGAGGGUGCGCCGGAAACUGGAGUGCUUGAGCGUGGGAGAGGAAAGCGGAAUUCCUGGUGUAGCGGUGAAAUGCGUAGAUAUCAGGAGGAACACCUGUGGUGUAGACGGCUUUCUGGACCAUAGCUGACGCUGAUGCGCGAAAGCUAGGGGAGCAAACAGG
rnacentral:rRNA from 1 species